rnacentral:rRNA from 1 species
AUACGUAGGGUGCAAGCGUUAAUCGGAAUUACUGGGCGUAAAGCGUGCGCAGGCGGUUUUGUAAGACAGUGGUGAAAUCCCCGGGCUCAACCUGGGAACUGCCAUUGUGACUGCAAGGCUGGAGUGCGGCAGAGGGGGAUGGAAUUCCGCGUCUAGCAGUGAAAUGCGUAGAUAUGCGGAGGAACACCGAUGGCGAAGGCAAUCCCCUGGGCCUGCACUGACGCUCAUGCACGAAAGCGUGGGGAGCAAACAGGAUUAGAUACCCUGGUAGUCCACGCCCUAAACGAUGUCAACUGGUUGUUGGGGAUUCAUUUUCUCAGUAACGAAGCUAACGCGUGAAGUUGACCGCCUGGGGAGUACGGCCGCAAGGUUAAAACUCAAAUGAAUUGACGGGG